rnacentral:rRNA from 1 species
CGCACGGGUGAGUAACACGUAAGUAAUCUACCCUCGGGUGGGGGAAUAACGUCCGGAAACGGACGCUAAUACCGCAUAAUGCAGCGGCACCGCAAGGUGACAGUUGUUAAAGAUUUAUUGCCUGGGGAGGAGCUUGCGGCAGAUUAGCUUGUUGGUAAGGUAACGGCUUACCAAGGCUACGAUCUGUAUCCGGUCUAAGAGGACGGUCGGACACACUGACACUGAAUAACGGGUCAG